rnacentral:lncRNA from 1 species
CCCUUCUCUCAGUUGGAUGCUUUCUUGAAUGGAUUUAUUUAGAGCUUCUAUAACCAAAAAAGAGUGUAAAAAUAGCUCGUCCCAGAAAAAGGAAAUUAACACAUAUGAUAUAAAUAAAUAAACCAAAGGCAAUCGAUUUCUUGUUCUUACUAAAGCGUCCAACAACAUAAAUACAAACAAAAAUCACAUAAAAAUCUGCAGCUAGCUAACCUUCAACAUUAGCAUCAUUAUACUGCAAUUGACCCAGGCUGGAGAGCGAACAAGGUAGCCAAUGUGUGCUAAAAUGCCAUGAGGCAUAGCAUGUAAUACAGAACACGACAUAGCCAAUACAUGCCAAAAUGCCAAAAGAAUUAUUUUUUUUAAAAGUAUUAGCAAACAUUUUAAUAUAAUAUAAGAUAAUUAUUUUAUAUUUUUAUCUAAACUGGGUCAAUUGGAAUAUUAAAUAUAUUUUACCUAUAAUAUUCAAUGGGCAAAGCAAAGAAAAAUUAUCGAAUGCAGAUAAAAAGUAGAGUAAUUUACCAUUGUGGCACUUGAGGCUCUUUUUCACUUUUCUCAAUUUGACGCUUUUAUGAUUAGAUUUAUUUGCUGUAACCUAAAAGGAGUAUUGAUAAAAACUAUAGAGUCGAACUACAGGAAGAUGAAAAAAGGAAAGUCAAACCAAGUGUACAGCCAAUAUGUGUACUUUUAGAAUAUUCUGACUAUUGAUCAAAGCUACAAAGCAUUUCCAAAAACAACUUAAUCUUAGAGUAAUUGUAAAAGGUUAAACAGAUUCCACAAAGGGCGAUGCAGAAUAAAGAAGACAAAAUUAAGCAAAUGCAUGCAAUUUUACUUCCUGAUUUCACUCAUCCUAAGUCGAUCAUGAAACAAGUUUUGGAUUGAAACAAGAAGCUAUUAAAAUAUAGAUCAAGAUCAAGCCACAGGAACUUCAUUUCCUUCUUUGGCACACAGUAAUUUAUGGAGUACAAGAUUAGAACUUCAGAACAAGAAAAGUAUAUCUCUCUUUUAGGAAGUUAUCACUAUUCACCUUAUAUCUCUCUUUAAAAAGUUAUCAUUAUUCACCUUAUAUUUCUCUUUUAAAAAGUUAUCACUAUUCACCUUCUUUUAAGUCACGUAUCAUAAAUAUUAAGAAAAGCUAGCAUUGAAAAUAAGAAGCUAUGUACGUUACAAGAACCAAAUGAAGUUAGGAGAAAGUUUGACCCAAUGGCCAAAAAUGCCCAACCAGAAAUUAAAACCUAAUCCUGCAAGGAAGAAAAGACAGAGAGAGUAAACUAGAACCAAAUUGAAUAAUUAAACUUAAUCCAGUUACAACUAUCUAAACAUCAGCAAUAUCAUAAUUAAGUAGAGAAACAAAAACCAAAAGCACAAAACAUUGAAAGCCAAUCACUAGAGCAAUCACCCAAAAUAAUAUAUUGAUGUCUAUUAAUAAUGCAAGAAAACUAUAGUUUUGCGACAAUGGAAGACAUAAGAUCAGUAGGCAGUAGCAUAAAGAGCUCAGCCUUCCAUAGUUCCAAAUCAGUCAGGAUUAAGAAAAAAAAUCCAUAUUUCAAUGUAAAAUAAUACUUCCUCAAACAUUCAAAGUGUUGAACCCUACAAAUACAUACAACUUAGCUUAGCUUAAAUUAUUGUACAGAAACACAUAAGGUAGUAGAGAAACUCCCUCAUCAUAAGAACAUAACCACAAGGCUCCUUUCUCCGGAUUGCUCACUGAGAUUAUUGGAAUGCUAGAAGAACUCUUUGCAAGUCUAGAUAAACGACAACUGUUGUUUCCAAAAAAAAGCAAGAAGAAAUCACAAAACAUAUAAUUACUGAGUCAAAAAUAUCAAAACCACAAACGAAACUAAUAAAGCUAGCAUCACUUAUCAUUCUCCUAAUAAAUUGAUCGAAAAAAACAGGAUAGCAACCAAAAAACUUACUGAAAUUUAAACUUUUUAUUUUAAGCUGAAAUUAGAAGUAAAAAGUUAGGCACCAAUAAGAGUUCUUCCUGAAUAUCUAAACAUACGUCCCUAGAAAAACAAUAGGUCGAAAUAUCAGUUAAACGUGCAAAGCCUGACAUUCAUUUCCAUAAAUGUUGAACCACAUGUACAUGACCAAACCACACGUAUGUUAUCAAGGUUCCUUCCCAUAAGUAGUACUUCGUAGUUGAUUUUCAUGUGACAGAAAAGAAAAGGUGAAAUCAAUGGUUUUUUAGGUUUUAAAACCAAAAGCAAUAUUUUUUGUUAUCCCUGGGAAUGAAACAAAAAUUAUUUGUUUGAUGGUCUACUACAUCCAAAUAUUUAACCUAGAAUAACAGAUAUCAGCUAUAACAGAGAAACAAUAUAUACAAUCCUAUGAAGGCUAAAAACAGAUAAAAGGUGCAACACUUCCACAUUUACCUACAUAUUUCCAAUUAAAUGGGCAAAAAGAACCAGACCCGAGAUGGCAAUAAGUGUAACAAAUGCAGUUUUCAAACCCUGGCCGAUGGAACUGAAAAUAUAAAAAGCAAAAAAAUCCGUUAAAAGGUUAUAUAAUCAACCUUCACAGAACACUUUUUACCACUACUCACGCAUUCUAUGCGGAUGAAGUAUAUAAGUUUGGAACAGAGCUAUUUUACGUUGCAAAAAAAAAGUGAUUAUCAAUUUAUGAGUCAUGAAGAUAAUCAUAUGUUUAGUCUUUGCAUGAGUACGGGGGAGGGGGACCAAAAGCUUCAAUUAAUUCCCAAGCAUUGAUUCAAACAGCAAAUAAAGAUGAUAAAAGUUUCAUCUGCCAUCACUUGUAAUGGAAUUCAACUUUUUUGGUACUUUCAUAAAUUUGUACCUCAGAUUCUGCAAGCCCUACCAAAACCAGUAGAAUUACUUCUCAAGAAAGUCAGAUGAGACAACCUUUUGUGUGAUAGCAUUUGCAAAUAUCCCAUAAUAAAAAAUAGUAAUGUUUUUUGGAUUACAGCCAUUAAACACCUGAGUAUUGUUUCCUCACAGUUUGCUUUCAUCUUUGUUCAAAGUACCACAAUCCAAAUAAGAGAGACUGCACUUUCAUGUCUAUAAGCAUACUUGCAAUACGUCACCUGACGCUCAAUUGACAACAGAUACCAUGAGGCUCCUAAGACCUACAAGAUCAGAAGGCUAAUCAUUGCAAGACUGCUAAGAGUAGAAUACUAUUCAGACCCAAAAGCAUUUUUAUACAGAAGUAGACAAAAUAGUAAUGCUAAAUCAUCUAAAAUAGAAGAAUGAUAGCCCGUCAUGCUCCAACUGAAGAAUUAAGAAUACUGGAAAACAGAAUUUAGGGAGUCUUGCCCUUAGUAUUUUCACCUAAAGUGGUUGUUGCUCUUAAAACUGUUCCUCUACCCUUGAGCAAGACUUCUACUAUUGCAGCAUGCAAUGGCCCAGCUAUUAACAAAAUAUUAGCAUACAAAAUUUGACUUGAGAUUAUAUACAUGAUUAGCCAACAUAUAGAGCAGGAGGUUAUAGGUAGCCCCAGCCUAAGCAGUCUUUCUGACUAUUCCAGUGGCUUUAAUGAUCUCAGAAUCGUGGAAAGUAUUGGAGCAAAACAAUCAGUAGAAGAGCAUUGUUGGUAUAAUCAGAAUAGAGCCUCUAAUUGCCAGAAUAAUAAACCAUGUCACAAUCUGCAAAAAAUAUCCGAACUCAUUUUUGCUUAUGAUUUAAAUUCUGUGAAUUAAAAGAGGCUAAUAAUACACAAGCUCCACAUACGAGGAUCCAAAAUAAAAACCUGUGCACAAGUUUAUUUUCACUACUACUUAAGAGUAUUAAUUAAAUAAAAGUUUAUGGAUAAUGACAUCCAGAAUAGCUUAUUUUCCAAUCUUUAACCUACAACCUGAUGAGAGAAAGGGACUUCUGGGAAGUAAGGAACCAAAUGAAUUAGAAACACCAUAACUUCCCUCGAUCAAUCUAAUUUAAUCAUAUUCAAAAUAGAAAACCCAUUAUUCAAAGAAAAAAGAACUCCCUCAUGAUUAAUGCUCUAUGACAACACUGGCUGGAGUUAAUACUUGAAAGAUGUGCUAAGAAGAUCUUAGCCUUCCAUAGUUCCAAAUCAGUCAGGAUUAAAAAAAAAAGAAUUAUAUUUCAAUGUAAAAUAAUACUUCCUCAAACAUUCAAAGUGUUGAACCCUACAAAUACAUACAACUUAGCUAGCUUAAAUUAUUGUACAUUCUCUAGUAAGAAUAUUAGGAGUUAAUACUGUUGACUAAAACAGAAACACAUAAGGGAGUAUAGAAACUCCCUCAUCAUAAAAACAUAACUGCAAGGCUCCUUUCUCCGGAUUGCUCACUGAGAUUAUUAGAAUGCUAGAAGAACUCUUUUCAAGUCUAGAUAAACGACAGUUGUUGUUUCCAAAAAAAGCAAGAAGAAAUCACAAAACAUAUAAUUACUGAGUCAAAAAUAUCAAAACCACAAACGAAACUAAUAAAGCUAGCAUCACCUCACCCUUCUCCUAACAAAUUGAUCGAAAAAACAGGAUAGCAACCAAAAAACUUACUGAAAUUUAAACUUUUUGUUUUAAGCUGAAAUUAGAAGUAAAAAGUUAGGCACCAAUAAGAGUUCUUCCUGAAUAUCUAACCAUAUGUCCCUAGAAAAGCAAUAGGUUGAAAUGUUAGUUAAACGUGCAAAGCCUGAUAUUCAUUUCCAUAAAUGUCGAACCACAUGUACAUGACCAAACCAGACCUAUGUUAUCAAGGUUCCUUCCCAUAAAUGUCUGUCCAUAAAAAGACGAGUUGGGUAAGAAGAAACUUUUUAUUCUCAACCAGAACUAAUUGUCAGACACAGACCAAACUAAUGAUCAAGAUGAUUGGCCAACUUUAAUCUAUCUACUUAACAAACAUAUUUUAAAAAAAGAUUAGCUAAAAAGAAAAGACUCCAAACAGAUACUUGACAAUCAACCCACUAAAUGGAUUUUCAAAAUAAGAAGGAAAACAGAGAAUGGAUUAAAACUCCCUACAGAAAGAUGAUCACUAAAAUCUUAUUGUUACACCUAAUAAGAUCAUUAAAUACAUUUUACCCAUAAUAUUUAAGAUGCAAAGCAAAGCAGAAUUAUCGAAUAGAAAUAAAAAGUGAAAUAAUUUACCAUUUUGGUACUUGAGGCUCUUUUUCCCUUCUCUCAGUUGGAUGCUUUCUUGAUUGAAUUUAUUUAGAGCUUCUAUAACCAAAAAAGAGUGCAAAAAUAGCUCUACUCCCAGUAGAAAAGAAAUGAAAAUAUAUGAUAUAAAUAAAUAAACCACAGGCAAUCGAUUUCUUGUUCUUACUAAAGCGUCCAACAAUAUAAAUACAAACAAAAAUCACAUAAAAAUUUGCAGCUAGCUAACCUUCAAAAUUUGCAUCAUUAUACUGCAAUUGACCCAGGCUGGAGAGCGGACAAGGUAGCCAAUGUGUGCUAAAAUGCCAUGAUGCAUAGCAUGUAAUACAGAAGACGACAUAGCCAAUAUAUGCCAAAAUGCCAAAAGAAUUUCUUUUUUUAAAAAAAAGUAUUAGCAAACAUUUUAGUAAAAUAGAAGAUAUUUAUUUCAUAUUUUUAUCUAAACUGGGUCAAUUGGAGUAUUAAAUAUAUUUUACCUAUAAUAUUCAAGGCUGGGUCAAUUGGAGUAUUAAAUAUAUUUUACCUAUAAUAUUCAAGGCGCAAAGCAAAGCAAAAUUAUCGAAUACAAAUAAGAAGCAGAGUAAUUUACCAUUGUGGCACUUAAGGCUCUUUUUCACUUCUCUCAAUUGGACGCUUUUAUGAUUGGAUUUAUUUGCUGUAACCCAAAAAGAAUUUGAUCAAAACUAUAGAGUUGAACUACAGGAAGAUGGAGAAAGGACAGUCAAACCAAGUGUACAGCCAAUAUGUGUACCUUUAGAAGAUUCUGACUAUUGAUCAAAGCUACAAAGCAUUUCCAAAAACAACUCAAUCUUAGAGUAAUUGUAAAAGGUUAAACAGAUUCCACAAAGGGCGAUGCAGAAUAAAGAAGACAAAAUUAAGCAAAUGCAUGCAAUUUUACUUCCUGAUUUCACUCAUCCCAAGUCGAUCAUGAAACAAAUUUUGGAUUGAAACAAGAAGCUAUUAAAAUAUAGAUCAAGAUCAAGCCACAGGAACUUCAUUUCCUUCUUUAGCACACAGUAAUUUAUGGAGUACAAGAUUAGAACUUCAGAACAAGAAAAGUAUAUCUCUCUUUUAGGAAGUUAUCACUAUUCACCUUAUAUCUCUCUUUAAAAAGUUAUCACUAUUCACCUUAUAUCUCUCUUUAAAAAGUUAUCACUAUUCACCUUAUAUCUCUCUUUUAAAAAGUUAUCACUAUUCACCUUCUUUUAAGUCACGUAUCAUAAAUAUUAAGAAAAGCUAGCAUUGAAAAUAAGAAGCUAUGUACAUUACAAGAACCAAAUGAAAUUAGGAGAAAGUUUGACCCUGGCCAAAAAUGCCCAACCAGAAACUAAAACCUAAUCCUGCAAGGAAGAAAAUACAGAGAGAGUAAACUAGAACCAAAUUGAAUAAUUAAACUUAAUCCAGCUACAGCUAUCUAAACAUCAGCAAUAUCAUAAUUAAGUAGAGACACAAAAACCAAAAGCACAAAACAUUGAAAGCCAAUCACUAGAGCAAUCACCUAAAAUAAUAUAUUUAUGUCUAUUAGCAAUGCAAUAAAACUACAGUUUUGCGACAAUGGAAGACAUAAGAUCAGUAGGCAGUAGCAUAAAGAGCUCAGCCUUCCAUACUUCCAAAUCAGUCGGGAUUAAGAAAAAAAAAAGAAUCAUAUUUCAAUGUAAAAUAAUACUUAACAUUUAAAAUGUUAAACCCUACAAAUACAUACAACUUAACUAGCUUAAAUUAUUGUACAUCUAUUAGGAGUUAAUACUGUUGACUAAAACAGAAACACAUAAGGUAGUAGAGAAACUCCCUCAUCAUAAGAACAUAACCACAAGGCUCCUUUCUCCGGAUUGCUCACUGAGAUUAUUGGAAUGCUAGAAGAACUUUUUUCAAGUCUAUAUAAACGACAACUGUUGUUUCCAAAAAAAGCAAGAAGAAAUCAUAAAAUAUAUAAUUACUGAGUCAAAAAUAUCAAAACCACAAACAAAACUAAUAAAGCUAGCAUCACCUCACCAUUCUCCUAACAAAUUGAUCGAAAAAAACAGCAUAGCAACCAAAAAACUUACUGAAAUUUAAACUUUUUGUUUUAAGCUGAAAUUAGAAGUAAAAAGUUAGGCACCAAUAAGAGUUCUUCCUGAAUAUCUAACCAUACGUCCCUAGAAAAAAAUUGGUUUGAAAUAUCAGUUAAACGUGCAAAGCCUGACAUUCAUUUCUAUAAAUGUCGAACCACAUGUGCAUGACCAAACCAGACCUAUGUUAUCAAGAUUCCUUUCCAUAAAUGUCUGUCCAUAAAAAAACGAGUUGGGUAAGAAGAAAUUUUUGAUUCUCAAUCAGAUCUAAUUGGCAAACACAGACCAAACUACUGAUCAAGAUGGCUGGCCAACUUUAAUCUAUCUACUUAACAAAUAUAUUUAAAAAAAAAUUAGCUAAAAAGAAAAAACUCCAAACAGAUAAUUGACAAUCAACCCACUUAAUGGAUUUUCAAAAUAAGAAGGAAAACAGAGAAAGGUGCAAACACUGAGAUUCAAUUAUUUUGUUUUCUGAUAUAAUCUUUGUGUUCAAAACGCCAGAGAAAUGAUUGGCAGGAUUGAAACUCCCUACAGAAUGAUGAUCGCUAAAAUCUUAUUGUUAUACCCAUAAAGGAAAGAAUUUCUGCUCAAACCCCAAAUACAUCCCUCACACCAAAGCAUUUAACCUUGGAAUCUCAAAGAGAGUCUAUUUGCAUUGGAAUUAUGAUAUGAAAUGACAAAAUCUUUGGAAAACCAAUAAGACAAAAGGAGUCGCUUAAUCGCUCUUCAGACUCCACACCAUGAUGUUUAGUUAUUAAAGAUCAAAAUUCAGAUUCUUAUAUUCCUCACAAAUCAAUUCCAGAAAAAUCAAACAACAUACCAUGGCACUAACUUGGAACAACACAGAAUCAGAAAUUAUAAAUAAAGAAGCCAAGCCAACCCCUUCACAGUCCCUUUCAGAUUCCAGUGAGAAGAUUAUGGUCUUCCAAACGUCAAGCGCCUGCGACCUUCAACUGGACAAGGAAAUUUAGAGAGAUGAUUGGAAUGGAAGGCUGAGAUUAAGUUAUACCCUCACUUAUGUUCCUAUUUGGUUUAGAAAUUUGAAAAGCUCUUUCCUAUUGUGGGAAUAGUAUUCGUUGCAUUCUUUUAAAAAAAAAUAGGAAAAAAGAAGUGGGUAGAUACAAAUUCAACUAAUAUUUUAGACAAAUAAUUUAUUUGUAAAUAAAAUACUAAAAAAUAAUAUCUCAACUUUUAUAUAUAUAUAUAUAUAUAUAUAUAUAUAUAGGGCAUUGAGAAGGAAGGACGCUUUCAAAGGCGAAAGGCCAUGGGGAGAUACCGUCUAUGAUCCAUGGAUCUCCGAUCGGGAAACCGUAUCCAAGCUCCAUGGCUAGUCUGCGCUCUUUGGACUUUGAAAACUUAGCGAAUCGGCAGGUGAUCUGUCCUUUCUCCCCCUUUCGUCAGUCGUCUUGAUCCGCCAGAGCAAGCUAGCUUCCUUGAAGAGGCUUGAUGGGAAAGAGAAGUGAAGAAGGAGAACCUAAGGAAGGUCUCUCUCUACCUCACAAGCUCUUGGAUUCCAUGGCUAAGGCUUACUUUGGUGGAUUUUGGGUGAGGGUAGAGGAGUAGGAAAGGGAGUGAGUAUAGGAUAGAACCUCAGGAUUCUAAGGAAAUUUUGGCUAUAUAUAUUAUUUCUUUUUGUAACAAAUUUACAUGUGUAUAUAAUAUGUUAUUACAUAAACAUAGUAAUUUUAAUAUAUAAACAUAUACAUUAUACAAAUUUUAUAUUUAUUACUUAUUAAAUAUAGUUAAUGUAUUAAUUAAUAAAUUACUUACUAAUUAGGUAAUAAUUUUUAAUUAUAAAAUAUAAUAUUAUGUCUUAUAUAACUAAUAUAUAUAUAACAAACUCAAUAUAUCAACUAAUAAUAUUUAAAAAAUCAAAAUAAUAAAAAUCCUAUGAAGAAUGAAUUCUAAAGUAUUAUAGUUCUUUAAAUAUAUUAAUAUUUUGUUAUAUUAUCUCAUGUAUGAUUUUAUACGAUAUAUAAAAUAUUUUUAAAUAAAAAUAUAGUUACUAUUUUUAAAUGAAAAAUAUUAUUAUAAUUUAAAGAAAUUUACAUUUAAUUUAUUGUUGAUUAAAUUGAAUAUAUAUAAUUUAUUUUAAUAAAAACUUAUCAUUUAUUUUAAAUAAAUAUAAAAAUAAUAGAAAUAUUCUACAGAAUAUAUGAGUAAUGACUUUAAAAAAAAUUAAAAGCUAAAAUUUUUGAUUUCACAUUACAAAUCUAACAAUAAUAUGUCAACGGCAUUUUAUUUCGACAAUGCCAUUUUGGCCCUCAACUUGUGCUGCGGGAACAAAAAAAAUUCAAAAAUGAAUAUUUUGAAAAAUAAACCCAUAACUUAAAUAUUUCAUACCAAAUUAACUCUUGACCAAUUAUUUGCAAUCCACACGCAUUACAAGAAAGGUGAAUUGAAUAUUUAAGUGAAAAUUCUUACAUUUCCAUAUUUUCAAUUCUUAAGUUCUUUUUUAUCUCAACUUUAUUUUAUUUUUUAAAUAAAAUUUAAAAUAUUUUAUCUCAUUUUUAUUUUAUUAAAUUACUACAUCCAGACGUCAUCUAUAAAAUUCUUCUUUUUCUUUUGAAUUCAUUCAUGAAAACAAAUCAUUGGCUAAGAGAUUAUCUUUUUUUCCAUAUCUGGUUUCUUAUUUAUAUUCAGAUUUUGAAUGUUGGCUUUAAUUAAAGCUCGACGGUGAGAGAGGGGCUUAAAAUCAUUGAUUGGAUUUCUUCUUUUCUUUUUUUAUAUUACUCUAUGUCUGUUUAUUUAAAAACCUAGCCAGUUAUUUUUUUUAAUUAUAUUGAUUUUUUGGUAAAAAUUAAUUUUUUUGAGAAAUUAGAUUAAAAAAAAGAUACAAAAUAAAACUUAAAGCAUUUCAUAACAAUUGCCACAAUAUUUUUCUUUUUCUUUUUCUUUUUUCUAUUUAAUUUGAAUGUGAAAAAUAUUUUGCAUACAGUAAACUUGUUGGGUGUUUCAACUUAAUCUUAAAGCUCCAAGUACCUUUUUUUUUUUUGCUCUUAAUAAAAAAUAAAAAGCAAUAUAUAAGCUGUUAAGUUUGUUAGUAGAUGGAGAAUAGUGGUAGGUAAUGGUAGAUGGCCAGAAAUGGUACUUAGUAGACGAACAUCGGUAAAAAGCAAUGGUGGUGGUGAUGGUGAAAGCAAUUUUUCUUUUUUUUUUAUUAAUAAGAAUAACUAAAUUAACAUAAAUUAAUUUAAUUUAUUUUCGAGUGUGAAUAACAUGCUCAAUGUUCAACUCUAGUUUAGGCUGAAUUGAUUUGAAAGAGGAAUUUUUUCACAUAUGUCCUAAAAAAGCUAAAGAUAUUAUUUUUACUGCUAAGAAAACUUUUUUCUCAACAAUACUGUAAAUUAAGAUUUUAUUUUAAGAAUACUAUAUAAUUUAUGAGCCAUACAUGAGUAAAUAUGUCCUUCCUAUUUUCAGAGCCUCGGGAAACGUUCUCAACUGAUAGACGAGAAUGGCUGCAUUGAUAGUAAAUAUAAAAUAUUAUGGUUUCUAAUUAGACAAUGAUUGUAGUAUUAAAAGUUAAUAAUAUUAAUAUAUUUAUACUAUUAAUUUAUAUAAUACUAAAAUUCAAUUAAUAAAUAUUUUUCAAUAAUAUUAUGUUAUUACAUUAGUGAAAAUUUUUAAAACCAAUAAAUUUUUAAUUAUUAUUCUUAUUAAAAAUAUUAUAAAUAAGAGGCAUUAACUAUAUAUUUAUGUAUUUUUCUAUAUUACACUAUUUAACCAUUAACAUUUUAAAAUUAU